UGCUAAAAAUUUCAUUCAUUUUUACCGCUAAAAGCUAAUAUGGUAAUCGAAUAACUAAACAAUGAUACAUGGGGUGCCAUGUGUAUUUCAUGUAAACAUAAAAGAACUAGUUUUUAACAAUAGAAAUGGAUGUAAUUUUUAACA
rfam:Gossypium hirsutum cultivar TM-1 chromosome 8, whole genome shotgun sequence